rnacentral:tRNA from 1 species
UAGGAAGUGGUGUAGAGGAAGCACAAAGAGUUUUGAUCUCUUUAGGUUGGGUUCGAAUCCCUUCUUUCUAU